CUUCAAAAAUAGCCUGACGCAUUCAAUGACGCCACGGGUAAACAAAAGCUUUCUUCUUCAGCAAUCCAAAACCCUACUAUAAAUAACAAUCCCUCCUUUUUCUAUCAAUCCAUACCCACACCCAAACAACCGCUAUUCCAUUUACAAACAGUCCUCUAUUCUAUUUACUUCACUAACCCCAACAAUGGCACCGAGUGACGUAAAGGUUCUGGGCGCACCGCCGAGCCCGUUUGUGAACCGGGUUCAAAUCGCCCUCAACUUGAAACACGUCGACUACGAGUUUCUCGAGGAGACGUUUGGGUACAAGAGUGAGUUGCUACUGAAAUCGAACCCGAUUCACAAGAAAGUCCCUGUUUUGAUCCAUGGGGGAAAACCCGUUUGCGAGUCUCUCGUUAUUGUGCAGUAUAUUGACGAGGUGUGGAUCGAUGGCCCAGGUAUUCUCCCUUCGGAUCCGUAUGAUCGAGCCACGGCCCGGUUCUGGGCUGCUUAUGUUGAUGAUAAGUGGUGGCCAACACUGAGGGGGCUAACAAAUGCAGAGGGAGAGGAGGCAAAAGCGGCCGCACUAGAGCAAGUUAUGGAAGGGAUCAUACUGUUGGAGGAUGCUUUCGCGAAAUGUGGCAAGGGAAAGGACUUCUUCGGAGGUGACACCAUCGGAUACCUAGACAUAGCCCUCGGGGGCUUCUUGGGGUGGCUGAGAGCGGCAGAGAAGAUGACCGAUCUAAAGAUCCUCGACGCAACCAAGACACCAGGUCUAUUUGGAUGGGCGCAUAGAUUUGGUUCAAAUGCCGCUUUGAAGGAUGUUAUUCCGAAAACAGAGAAGAUUGUGGAGCUUGCCAAGAUGUUAACUGCUAGAGCAAAAGCCCAGUAAUUUCCCCAAUUCGGUUGUCACCAAGUCAAUAAUCUGGGCUGCUUAGAUUGCUCUGGAUGGUCUCUGUAAUUUUUUUUUUUUUUUUUGGUAAUUUUGUUUCCAAUUUUGGUUUCUUUUUUCUUCAGAUGUUUGUAAUUCAAUAAUGUGGCAUACUACUUAUAUGGGAAACUAUGGUUAUGUAUU